AGCUUGUACGAGUGCUGAGUUUCAGUGUGAAAACAGUCUUAGAUGUGUCAAACCAUCCCAAGUGUGCGAUGGCAAUAAUGACUGUGACGACGCAACAGAUGAGCUGCUGUGCAAGUCCUGUUCAUACAAGGGCUGGGACUGUGGCAAUGGAGAAUGCAUUGACCCAAAUACGGUGUGUGACGGGGACAAGGACUGCUCUUCUGGGGCAGAUGAAGAAAACUGCAAAAUUUGCGAUGAUGAUCAGUUCUACUGCGCGGAUGGAACCUGUUUGUCGCUGGCAUUACAUUGUGAUAGCAAACAUGACUGUAGUGGAGGAGAGGACGAAGAAAGAUGUGCAGGCAUCUGCAAUAUAUUGCAGUUAGAGUGUGACAGCAAAUGCUUGCCAAGGUACCGUGCCUGUGAUGGCUUGCAGGACUGUUCGGAUGGCAGAGACGAGGAAAAUUGCACCAUUCAAGGGUGCGGUGUAAAGCAGUUCCUUUGCUCAGACGGUACCUGUUUGUUCGAGUCCCAGUUGUGUAACAGUCAGCAGGAUUGCAGUGGAGAGGAGGAUGAAGAUGACU